rnacentral:rRNA from 1 species
AGGUAAUGGCUCACCAAGGCGACGAUCCGUAACUGGUCUGAGAGGAUGAUCAGUCACACUGGAACUGAGACACGGUCCAGACUCCUACGGGAGGCAGCAGUGGGGAAUAUUGGACAAUGGGCGAAAGCCUGAUCCAGCCAUGCCGCGUGUGUGAAGAAGGUCUUCGGAUUGUAAAGCACUUUAAGUUGGGAGGAAGGGCAUUAACCUAAUACGUUAGUGUUUUGACGUUACCGACAGAAUAAGCACCGGCUAACUCUGUGCCAGCAGCCGCGGUAAUACAGAGGGUGCAAGCGUUAAUCGGAAUUACUGGGCGUAAAGCGCGCGUAGGUGGUUUGUUAAGUUGGAUGUGAAAUCCCCGGGCUCAACCUGGGAACUGCAUUCAAAACUGACUGACUAGAGUAUGGUAGAGGGUGGUGGAAUUUCCUGUGUAGCGGUGAAAUGCGUAGAUAUAGGAAGGAACACCAGUGGCGAAGGCGACCACCUGGACUAAUACUGACACUGAGGUGCGAA